UACGUAGGUGGCGAGCGUUGUCCGGAUUUAUUGGGCGUAAAGCGCGCGCAGGCGGUCGCGUAAGUCUGCUGUGAAAUCUCCCUGGCUCAACCGGGAGGGGGCGGCGGAGACUGCGGGACUGGAGGGACCUAGAGGCCGGUGGAAUUCCCGGUGUAGUGGUGAAAUGCGUAGAGAUCGGGAGGAACACCAGUGGCGAAGGCGACUACCUGGCCUGUUCUUGACGCUGAGGCGCGAAAGCUAGGGGAGCGAACGGG
rnacentral:rRNA from 1 species